UUUCCGUAGGUGAACCUGCGGAAGGAUCAUUGUCGAAACCUGCCCAGCAGAACGACCCGCGAACUUGUAUAAACAACUGGGGGCGGGGGGCGUUCUCGCCCCGUGCCCCCGAACGGCGGGGAGACACUCGUGCCUUCUUGCCGAACAACGAGCCCCGGCGCGGUCUGCGCCAAGGAACUUCAACUAAAGAGUGCCUCCGGUCGCCUCGGAAACGGCGUGCGUGCCGGAGGCGAAUCUUGUGCAAAACCAUAACGACUCUCGGCAACGGAUAUCUCGGCUCUC
rnacentral:misc_RNA from 1 species